rnacentral:lncRNA from 1 species
UGGAAUCUAGUGAGAUUCUAAGUAGUCCUAUUUAAUUGUGAGUCAAUAGUGACUUGCUGGGUGCGGUGGCGACUCCCACGGCGGAUGGCUGGGUCGAGAGCACAUCUUUAUUUUCUCUCUAGAUCAUUCUUCUUCCUAUUUUGAUUUGAGAAAGGGAACGUGAGAAUUAGGUCAACCAGAGUGUUUUCCCAGUAAGUGUUGAGGCAGGCGUUUGCAAGGAGCAGUAUUGGAAGCGUUUCCGGAGUUUUCCAGUGUGUUCGGGUUUCACCUGCAUGUCAGGGUUCGUCACCGUCACAGGAACCCUGGGUCAUUUUGCCAACUCAGUAGAACGGGGCUAAAAUGGUGUUGAAAGGCUCAGGGUGCUCGCCCACAUCAGUGAGGGAGGUGCAGCUGAUGAAGGAAGUGCUGGGUGCAGAAGGGGAUGCUCUGAAAUGGUGGCUUCUGUUUGCAGUUUCAAAGCUCAGGUAAUUUUCUUGUGCUUUAUCUACUUAUGCCUAAAUUCAGAGGAAGGAUAAAGAA